rfam:Wencheng Sm shrew coronavirus isolate Xingguo-101 ORF1ab polyprotein, spike glycoprotein, envelope protein, membrane protein, and nucleocapsid protein genes, complete cds.
UGAGUGAGACAUGGCACCCCUUUGCAUGUGCUAGGAUGUGUCUCGUCUUAUCCAUAAGAACUAGCCUGUCAUAUAGUAGGAUAAGUAGGCUAUAUGAUUUUAUUGUAUUUAGUAGAAAGCAAUGAUAAUAUUUUAAAUUAAAGUGAUUGAAAGAUGCCUUUAAGGAGCCCAAAGUGGAAGAGUUAAUUUAAAUAAAAAGUUGUUAGUAAAUGAUGAUAAUAUAAUUUAGAUAGGGAAGC